rnacentral:SRP_RNA from 1 species
GCUGGGUGUGAUGGCACACACCUGUAAUCCCAGCUACUUGGGAGGCUGAGGUGGGAGAAUUGCUUGAAUCCGGGAGACAGAGGCUGCAGUGAGCCAAGAUCAUGCCACUGCACUCCAGCCUGGGUGACAGAGCGAGACUCCAUCUCAA